rnacentral:tRNA from 1 species
GCUGGAGUGGCGGAAUUGGUAGACGCAGCGGAUUCAAAAUCCGCCGUUGAUGAGACGUGUGGGUUCGAGUCCCACCUCCAGCACCA